rnacentral:rRNA from 1 species
UGGGGGAUAUUGCACAAUGGGCGAAAGCCUGAUGCAGCGACGCCGCGUGGGGGAUGAAGGCCUUCGGGUUGUAAACUUCUUUUGCUCUGAACAAGGCAUGCCUUUGGGGUGUGUUGAGUGUAGGGGUUGAUUAGCGCCGGCUAACUACGUGCCAGCAGCCGCGGUAAUACGUAGGGCGCGAGCGUUGUCCGGAAUUAUUGGGCGUAAAGGGCUUGUAGGUGGCUGGUUGCGUCUGUCGUGAAAGCUCAUGGCUUAACUGUGGGUUUGCCGUGGGUACGGGCUGGCUUGAGUGCAGUAGGGGAGGCUGGAAUUCCUGGUGUAGCGGUGGAAUGCGCAGAUAUCAGGAGGAAUACCGGUGGCGAAGGCGGGUCUCUGGGCUGUUACUGACGCUGAGGAGCGAAAGCGUGGGGAGCGAACAGG